GAUGAACGCUGGCGGCGUGCCUAAUACAUGCAAGUCGAGCGAACAGAUAAGGAGCUUGCUCCUUUGACGUUAGCGGCGGACGGGUGAGUUACACGUGGAUAACCUACCUAUAAGACUGGGAUAACUUCGGGAAACCGGAGCUAAUACCGGAUAACAUAUUGAACCGCAUGGUUCAAUAGUGAAAGGCGGCUUUGCUGUCACUUAUAGAUGGAUCUGCGCCGUAUUAGCUAGUUGGUAAGGUAACGGCUUACCAAGGCAACGAUACGUAGCCGACCUGAGAGGGUGAUCGGCCACACUGGAACUGAGACACGGUCCAGACUCCUACGGGAGGCAGCAGUAGGGAAUCUUCCGCAAUGGGCGAAAGCCUGACGGAGCAACGCCGCGUGAGUGAUGAAGGUCUUCGGAUCGUAAAACUCUGUUAUCAGGGAAGAACAAAUGUGUAAGUAACUGUGCACAUCUUGACGGUACCUGAUCAGAAAGCCACGGCUAACUACGUG
rnacentral:rRNA from 1 species